CAUUCUCCAUUCGCAGGCAGGAGGUUGUGAAUGAAGCACCACCAGUCACUGACCUAAAAGAUUGAUGGCCUGCUCUUUUUGAUGCAGCUCAGAUAAAUGAAGAAUUCAGGAGGAUCACCACUAUUAACCUGGAGCCAACGUUCAUGGCAAAACUGGACCAGUACACCCCGAAAAUAAUGUCCAUGGUGUCCUUAAGAGGAGGGGCUUCAAAAAUGAAGAUUCAGUGCAUAAGAAACAUGCUGCUAGAGGAUGAGUCUGUGGGAAAAAAGGAGAGAGGUUGCUAUCCGUGGUUUAAUGGUGUAUCCCAGAGAAAAGGAGGAGGAUCUCUUCAAAGAGCAGUUGGAUGGUGGGGAUAUUGUCAAAGAAGUGAUGAAGAUUGUCAUAUCCAGAGGUGCCACCAUGUCUGUUCCAACCAGCGCGAGGAUCUUCAUUGAGGGAACAGAAGUUCUGCAAGACCUGGACGUACCCAGAGCCUGUGCCUUGCUAGUGGGGCUGAUAUACGGACUCAACCUCAGCUACCCAAAAGAACUGAAAAAUACUUUUGAGGUAUUUCAAAAGAUAUUCCAGCUGGAUGGGCUGAAAGCCAGUCCGAAGGUAAUGUCUUUAAAAAGUAAACUGCUGUGCUAAAAAUGUGAAGAAUUAGACUGUCCUCAAAUUCAACAGGAUAUGUUGCACUGUUAUGUUUGUAAAGUUUUGUUGUGCAAGAAACAGCACCUGUACUGUUGACAGUCGACACUUCAUUAGGUACACCUACUUAGAAUGCUUAGUGUUCUUGCCAGUUUUUUGGAAGUGUUAAUAUGUAUCAGACACUAUUUACAAAGUCCCUUGGAAAACAUGCCUCUAUAUUCGCCAUGAAAAUACAUGUAGCCGUUUGAUAUGUUUUUUCCAACACCAGCAUCAUUUAAUUUAUGUAUUCUUUUUCACAUGGUGCUUUUUAUUAUUGUAUUCGUUAACAUGCACAGAGAAUGAAGCACUGGAUUGAGGGGAUUGGUCCUCCAAAAUAUUUUGGAGUAUUUGACUUUGAAGCUCCCAUACAUUAAUUUUGAUUAAAGGGGAACUUUGGUAUUUUUCAACCUGGGCCCUAUUUCCCUGUGUGUGUGUGUGUGUGUGUGUG